UCGAAUUUUCAUGUUUUUGAAAUCGAUUAGGUUUUGGGUUUGAUUGAUUUUCUAGUUAAAUGGAUUUGGGGAUUGGGGAUUUCAUAGAACUCGAUUUGGGGUGUUAGCUAGGGUUUGCUGUUAAUUUCGAUUUGGAAGUUACUAUUCUUGGCGAUUUUCUAUUUAGUUAUAGUUGUUUCUGUUCAAGUCCUUAUUAUGGGUUAGAAGAGCUGAUUUAUUAUGCUUAUUUUGAUUCAUUUUUGUUUUGGGUUGUGUUGAUGUUGGUGGUAGCUCCGUUGCAGGGCAAUUUCCAUCUCCAGAAGAGUCGCUGCUCUGCUUGUGCAUGCCCAGCUGUCCGCACCUGGAAAUGUACAAGCAAGAGCAGUGAUUGUAAGCACAGUAGUAUCAAAUUGGCCUCGAAGCUUUAUUUUCAUGCGUGCAGAAGAUCAUCUUUUGAGUCUUAUAAGCCUUGAGUUGGAGUGAGUCUUUUGAAUCUUUUAAGAUGGUAUGACAACCACUUAAAUUCGAUACAGUAAAGCACUUCACUCAAAAAACACUUACAGAAAGCACUUCUAUUAAUAGGCAGAAGGUUCUUUCAUCUUGUUUUUAUUUCAAUUUUCUUUCCACAUUUUCUUGCUUUUAGGUCAAACUAAUAUUACUUGUGAAUUUAACAUUGCAGAAAUCUGACUACGAAUUCAUCAUGGUGAAAAAAAGAAAUGGAUGGUCUAGUCUUUGAAGUCUGAGGCCAAUGAUCAGUUCUUCCAAGGCCGUAUUUGUUAGUUGCGAAUCUUCAAAACAAGCUUGGAGAAAGAAAUCAAGAGUAUUGUGUGCAAGAUGAUUGAUAAAAUGGCGCAAUAAGGUUUUGUAGAAGUCAACUGCAAUUGAAGACUAGGUUAUUGCACUAUUGAGCUGUGAUGAUGAGAUUGUGAAUGUUUUGGAUGUUUAAUCAAUGAACGUAUGUUUUGGAUGUGUUGUCAUUUUGUUAGGUGCCAUAUAUGCAGAAUGUAUGCCUAAAGACUCCCAAACCAUUCUAUUCCAACCAAA